ensembl:lncRNA
GGAAGCACGAUGGUUCACUUGGAUUAUCUUUCUACUGCUGCAGAUUACCAGUAAUGAUGAAAUAUUACGUAUGUUAGUGUUGUGAAGCUCCCGGCCAAGUGGCUUCGUGUCACCGUGGAGUUCACAGAGUUCCCCCCGUAGGCCAUUUGGAUUUGGCACCAACGUAUUUAAUCAGAUGUACAUUUCGUGAGACCUCCGAUUGGAUGAAUCGUCCUUCUCUAUUCAAUCCCUGGACGUUAACGUCUGAUGAACACGAUCCCUUAUGGAGGGAACCAGCAUGCUGAGUCCUCACGUGAUCUGGUCUCCACUAAAGGCUCAAACCUGCAGAGCUGCUGCUGUUCUCACACGUUCUCACCACAACGCUUCCUCUUUACUUCUGAGGAAACAACCACAAGAUGCAAAGAGGAAGAAACUCAUCCUCAGAGCUCCGACACGUCGUCUCUAUGAGCACGACGAGGAAGUGACGCUGUGCAACCAGAGGAAGCAGAAGCUGCAUCUGUGAGGAAGAAGCACUCGGUCAGACGCCUUGAGGAGCAGAGACACCAUGGUGGAACUCAGAGGGACUCAAAGGACUUUAUGUGUGAUGCUGCUGCUGCUUC